AUUACCUCAGUAACGGCGAGUGAAGCGGUAAUAGCUCAAAUUUGAAAUCUGGGCCUUUCAGGUCCCGAGUUGUAAUUUGUAGAAGAUGCUUUGGGUGUGGUUCCGGUCUAAGUUCCUUGGAACAGGACGUCAUAGAGGGUGAGAAUCCCGUAUGUGACUGGGUGCCUUCGCCCGUGUAAAGCUCUUUCGACGAGUCGAGUUGUUUGGGAAUGCAGCUCAAAAUGGGUGGUAUAUUUCAUCUAAAGCUAAAUAUUGGCCAGAGACCGAUAGCGCACAAGUAGAGUGAUCGAAAGAUGAAAAGCACUUUGGAAAGAGAGUUAAACAGUACGUGAAAUUGUUGAAAGGGAAGCGCUUGCAACCAGACUCGCACGUCGUCGAUCAUCCGGGGUUCUCCCCGGUGCACUCGGCGGCAUUCGGGCCAGCAUCGGUUUGGGCGGCGGGACAAAAGCUGUGGGAAUGUAGCUGCCUUCGGGCAGUGUUAUAGCCCUCGGUACAAUGCCGCCCGCCCGGACCGAGGACCGCGCUUCGGCUAGGAUGCUGGCGUAAUGGUUGUAAGCGACCCGUCUUGAAACACGGACCAAGGAGUCUAACAUCUAUGCGAGUGUUUGAGUGUCAAACUCAUACGCGUAAUUAACGUGAACGGAGGUGAGAACCCUUUAGGGUGCAUCAUCGACCGAUCCUGAUGUCUUCGGAUGGAUUUGAGUAAGAGCAUAGCUGUUGGGACCCGAAAGAUGGUGAACUAUGCCUAAAUAGGGUGAAGUCAGAGGAAACUCUGGUGGAGGCUCGCAGCGGUUCUGACGUGCAAAUCGAUCGUCAAAUUUGGGUAUAGGGGCGAAAGA
rnacentral:rRNA from 1 species